AUUGAACGCUGGCGGCAUGCCUUACACAUGCAAGUCGAACGGCAGCACGGGAGCUUGCUCCUGGUGGCGAGUGGCGAACGGGUGAGUAAUAUAUCGGAACGUGCCCUGGAGUGGGGGAUGACUAGUCGAAAGAUUAGCUAAUACCGCAUACGAUCUAAGGAUGAAAGUGGGGGAUCGCAAGACCCCAUGCUCGUGGAGCGGCCGAUAUCUGAUUAGCUAGUUGGUGAGGUAAAGGCUCACCAAGGCAUCGAUCAGUAGCUGGUCUGAGAGGACGACCAGCCACACUGGGACUGAGACACGGCCCAGACUCCUACGGGAGGCAGCAGUGGGGAAUUUUGGACAAUGGGCGCAAGCCUGAUCCAGCAAUGCCGCGUGAGUGAAGAAGGCCUUCGGGUUGUAAAGCUCUUUUGUCAGGGAAGAAACGGUGAGGGUUAAUACCUCUUGCUAAUGACGGUACCUGAAGAAUAAGCACCGGCUAACUACGUGCCAGCCGCCGCCGUAA
rnacentral:rRNA from 1 species